ACACAGCAGGGCUAUUCCAUGCCCCACGACUCCGUCCGCUCAUUAAUCUGGACCAGAGCGCUGCACUAAUCAGCUUGUGAACCAAAGUCUGCUCCAUUUUGCAACACUCACUUUGAUAUUACGUCUAUUUGCUAUUCAGACCGAGGAGGAUGGGCGCAAUGCAAACAGACACGGCGCCCCGGCCUGUGACAGCACGGAGCCACAGACGCAGCUACACACACUCCAUAACGCGCUCCCACGCAGGACACGCGGAAAAGCGGCACCUAAAUGUCACUUGCAGAGCGAAAGCAGAAAAUUGGGCUUCUCAUGUACCGUGUCUUCCCCCGCGAGUUGUCUUCACCUCCACCUACUCCCACAGUGGCUGGAUCUGUCCAGAGAAAAUAAAGAAAAAAAGGGAAAUGCUGGCCUGCCUAGACUCUGCUUCCAAGAGCAUGGUGGACUGCAGAGGACAGCAUUUCUGUGUGCAUCAAAAGAAUGAAGAAAUUUCAGCUUACAAAACAGGGCGAACAAGUCAAUAUGGAUCUGAGGUCUGGCCGACUUCAAUCCCAUGUGGGGCGGGGGGGACGCAGGGCACAACGAUGUAUUAAAACUUUUCCCUGCCCACUGCGAAGUCGAACUUGGAGACAGAUUAAAAAGUUGAAAAAAGCGAAAGAUGUUCAAUCUUUGGUGAGGUUUUUUUUUAGAUGCAUGCACUUUCAGCUGAAAGAAAAGGGAUGGAGAAAUCACUAAUCUCUUUCAUCAAAAGUGAAACUAGCGCAUUGCUGAUGAUGCUACUGCAUUGAAUCAACUCCAGCUUCCCCAGUAACUGUAGGUCAUUUUGUUCAGGGAGCAGACAGGAAGCAGUUGCCAGUAAUAUAAAAUACAUUUCAGUUGCAAUGCAGCUUUCACAUCUAAAAAGGAAAGGAGGACUAAUAGGAAAUGGCGUGGUUUCCCCAAAUGAGGAUUACUUUGUAAUAAGCACUUUAUUUUCCUUGGACCUGUCUGGUUUCAGUGCGCCUGGUUCUGUGUCCCAUAUUGGGCCAAAAUGGCCACGUGAAUGCUUUGGAGGUCCCAGCAUUCCAGGGCUAAUGCUGCGCAGCUGGAGCAGGUUGGUGUCUAAUGAAAAUUCUCACUUUGAUGGGCCCUCCUCAAGGAUUAGGUUCUGAUCGACACCACCUUAGGCCAGCUUCCUGCUAGACCAGCACAAGAUUACGGGUGAUUUAGCAGCUUUGGGUCUAGUUUCUGUGGUGGCAAGAGAAGCAAAUAUUACACAUAAAGGGAAAAAGGAAACCUCAGAGUUCUAAUUGAAGUACAUUCUGGUUCACCAAGAUAGCAAAGAGUAAAGCUGGAUAAUAGCUUGCCAAUCUCUGAAUGACCCUUAAAUCCAAUCUUCACACUACAGCGCAUUUCAAAACAAUAUAUCCUAUGAUAUGAGGGUCAAGCAGAUACACAGGUACACUUACUUACUGUACUUAAUAUAGAGGAAUCUUAAAUGUUGAAGAACAUUAUUUUAUAAUACGCAACAUUUGAUUUGGAGUAAUAUUUCUAUUGUGUGAGACCCAUUCUCUGGUGCACAGAGACUCCACUUGAGAUGAUUCACCUUGUUGUUUCUGCUGUCAACCAAUACAGUGAACUGCAGUUGCAGUUUCUCUGUCAACUGACUGAUGACUCAGCGUGACCCUCCAUCCACCAACCUUUUCCUGAACGGAGUCCCUCUCCUUCUGGUGGCUUCUCUCCAGGUCACAGCGGAUCUGAUCCAUUCUGGAGCGAAGCCGGUCCUGUGCUGCCUCCUUGUCCAGGAACCACCGUUGCUUCUCCUCCUCCCGAAGCAAUGCCAUCUCAACCAGCUGUUGCUUGUGCUGAGCGUGGGCCCCCUGCAGUUCCUCACGUACACUCUGCAACUGGGCUUCCAAAUCUGAAAUAAUCUGAGAAGCAAAAGAUACAAAUACACAUAAUGUUUAACUAAUGCCCUGCAGAUACGUUAGAACACUCACACAACUACAGUAGCAUAGGUAUUUUUAUCUAUUGAUUGUGUACAGAUGUGUAUUAAUAACAAUUAUGGAUGUCCCAAUUUGAGAUAUAUUAAAACAUAUUGAUACAUUUUGAUGAAUAUUUGAGUGAUGACACUGGAGGGCCUGCACAGUAACUAACUGUACCUAAGCAAAAAAGUUUCACAAGUUCGCCUUAAUGUUUGUUUUCCGCUGUGGGAAUGUGUGGGGGCCGCUGCUAUGGCCGACCCCUCUCUUGACCUCUCUCGUUUUGAACUUCUCUGUCUUGACUUUGCCCAGAAGAGCCCUUUAAUAGCGCUGCCAGUGAGAGACAACAUAACAUAGUAGGAAUUCUAAUGAGUACAACCCCCGUGGCCUCGAAAACACCAGAAAUAGGACUGGCCACCAUGUGAAGUUACUGUACAUGUACAAAUCCAGAGUUCGGAAAAGAUGAGCUUACGGUUCUGUUAAAACAGUUAUUUUCUACUAUAAUUUCAAAUUAGUGUUAAGUACAAGGUUCAUAAUAAGAAGCGUGUGCGUUUAUAUUUUUGUAAUUGUGUCAAUUACGGUGGCCACUAAAGAUAAAGUACAUGGAAAUUCAAAAAAGGGAAGUGCUAACCACAAAACAAAGGUUGACACACAAACAGACAGAAAGAAAAUCGCAAAAUGCAAAAAACAAAACAAAACAAAAAAAAAAAAAACAGAA